GAUGAACGCUGGCGGCGUGCCUAAUACAUGCAAGUCGAGCGAACAGACGAGGAGCUUGCUCCUCUAACGUUAGCGGCGGACGGGUGAGUAACACGUGGAUAACCUACCUAUAAGACUGGGAUAACUUCGGGAAACCGGAGCUAAUACCGGAUAAUAUAUUGAACCGCAUGGUUCAAUAGUGAAAGACGGUUUUGCUGUCACUUAUAGAUGGAUCCGCGCCGCAUUAGCUAGUUGGUAAGGUAACAGCUUACCAAGGCAACGAUGCGUAGCCGACCUGAGAGGGUGAUCGGCCACACUGGAACUGAGACACGGUCCAGACUCCUACGGGAGGCAGCAGUAGGGAAUCUUCCGCAAUGGGCGAAAGCCUGACGGAGCAACGCCGCGUGAGUGAUGAAGGUCUUCGGAUCGUAAAACUCUGUUAUUAGGGAGGAACAAAUGUGUAAGUCACUAUGCACGUCUUGACGGUACCUAAUCAGAAAGCCACGGCUAACUACGUGCCAGCAGCCGCAGUAA
rnacentral:rRNA from 1 species